AGAGUUUGAUCCUGGCUCAGGACGAACGCUGGCGGCGUGCCUAACACAUGCAAGUCGAACGGAACUGUUUUGAAAGAUUUCUUCGGAAUGAAUUUGAUUUAGUUUAGUGGCGGACGGGUGAGUAACGCGUGAGUAACCUGCCUUCAAGAGGGGGAUAACAUUCUGAAAAGAAUGCUAAUACCGCAUGACAUAUCGGAACCACAUGGUUUUGAUAUCAAAGAUUUUAUCGCUUGAAGAUGGACUCGCGUCCGAUUAGUUAGUUGGUGAGGUAACGGCUCACCAAGACCGCGAUCGGUAGCCGGACUGAGAGGUUGAACGGCCACAUUGGGACUGAGACACGGCCCAGACUCCUACGGGAGGCAGCAGUGGGGGAUAUUGCGCAAUGGGGGCAACCCUGACGCAGCAACGCCGCGUGAAGGAUGAAGGUUUUCGGAUUGUAAACUUCUUUUAUUAAGGACGAAAAUUGACGGUACUUAAUGAAUAAGCUCCGGCUAACUACGUGCCAGCAGCCGCGGUAAUACGUAGGGAGCAAGCGUUGUCCGGAUUUACUGGGUGUAAAGGGUGCGUAGGCGGCUUUGCAAGUCAGAUGUGAAAUCUAUGGGCUCAACCCAUAAACUGCAUUUGAAACUGUAGAGCUUGAGUGAAGUAGAGGCAGGCGGAAUUCCCCGUGUAGCGGUGAAAUGCGUAGAGAUGGGGAGGAACACCAGUGGCGAAGGCGGCCUGCUGGGCUUUAACUGACGCUGAGGCACGAAAGCGUGGGUAGCAAACAGGAUUAGAUACCCUGGUAGUCCACGCUGUAAACGAUGAUUACUAGGUGUGGGGGGACUGACCCCUUCCGUGCCGCAGUUAACACAAUAAGUAAUCCACCUGGGGAGUACGACCGCAAGGUUGA
rnacentral:rRNA from 1 species